rnacentral:rRNA from 1 species
GCAAGUCGAACGGUAGAGGGGGCAACCCCUUGAGAGUGGCGAACGGGUGAGUAAUAUAUCGGAACGUGCCCCGUCGUGGGGGAUAACGUAGUGAAAAUUACGCUAAUACCGCAUACGAUCUAUGGAUGAAAGCAGGGGAUCGCAAGACCUCGCGCGAUUGGAGCGGCCGAUGUCAGAUUAGGUAGUUGGUGAGGUAAAGGCUCACCAAGCCAACGAUCUGUAGCUGGUCUUAGAGGACUACC